UGAGGGCGUGUCUCAGUGCCGUACCGCGGUGGGUCGGCGCCCAGCUGAGGACCAGAUGCGCCGCCGCCGAGUACCGAGUGACGUCUCCGCUGAGUGAUCCGCUGAGCUCACGUCGGUUCGGAGCGGCGCCGGCGGCGGGCAGACCGCGCCUCUCGCCGAGCCGCCAUCCUCCGCCGGAUCGCGGAGCUGGAGCGCACCCAGCAGACCCAGGCGCGGCCCGCAGUGAACGAGGACGAGGAGAAACGCUGGCUCUACAGUCAGAUAGAGGCGCUGCAGAGGCGGCUGCAGCACCUGGAACACGGACCGUCACCGGCUGACGCUGCCUCGGCCUGCGCUGCUCCGCCGACCGCCGGUACAGACUCCGUCUCCUGCACCGCCCCGGCCGCCGGCAGCGACCCGCUAUGUCCCGCGGCGCCGCCGCAGGAGACGACGGCUGACAUCGGCCCCGAGCUCAGCCGACUGAGACGCGAA